rnacentral:rRNA from 1 species
GGACAGUAGGGAAUCUUCCGCAAUGGACGAAAGUCUGACGGAGCAACGCCGCGUGAGUGAUGAAGGUUUUCGGAUCGUAAAGCUCUGUUGUUAGGGAAGAACAAGUGCCGUUCAAAUAGGGCGGCACCUUGACGGUACCUAACCAGAAAGCCACGGCUAACUACGUGCCAGCAGCCGCGGUAAUACGUAGGUGGCAAGCGUUGUCCGGAAUUAUUGGGCGUAAAGGGCUCGCAGGCGGUUUCUUAAGUCUGAUGUGAAAGCCCCCGGCUCAACCGGGGAGGGUCAUUGGAAACUGGGGAACUUGAGUGCAGAAGAGGAGAGUGGAAUUCCACGUGUAGCGGUGAAAUGCGUAGAGAUGUGGAGGAACACCAGUGGCGAAGGCGACUCUCUGGUCUGUAACUGACGCUGAGGAGCGAAAGCGUGGGGAGCGAACAGGAUUAGAUACCCUGGUAGUCCACGCCGUAAACGAUGAGUGCUAAGUGUUAGGGGGUUUCCGCCCCUUAGUGCUGCAGCUAACGCAUUAAGCACUCCGCCUGGAGACUAA